GAUGAAGAACGCAGUGAAAUGCGAUAAGUAAUGUGAAUUGCAGAAUUCAGUGAAUCAUCGAAUCUUUGAACGCACAUUGCGCCCCCUGGUAUUCCGGGGGGCAUGCCUGUCCGAGCGUCAUUACAACCCUCAAGCUCAGCUUGGUGUUGGGCCCCGCCGCCCCGGCGGGCCCUAAAGUCAGUGGCGGUGCCGUCCGGCUCCGAGCGUAGUAAUUCUUCUCGCUCUGGAGGUCCGGUCGUGUGCUCGCCAGCAACCCCCAAUUUUUUUCAGGUUGACCUCGGAUCAGGUAGGGAUACCCGUUGAACUUAAGCAUAUCAAUAAGCGGAGGA
rnacentral:misc_RNA from 1 species